UCUCCAGUAGUCUAAUGGUUAAGACUCUGCACUUCCAAUGCAGGGGUGUGGGUUCAUUCCCUGGUUGGAGAA
rfam:TPA: Bos taurus chromosome 18, whole genome shotgun sequence.